rnacentral:lncRNA from 1 species
GUUUAAUUCUUGGCAAUCCCCCUCCCCCAAACUCCUAACUGGGAGAACGUUUCAGUUUUUCUCUAUGGACCUUGAUGUAACCAUGCACAAUACAAUGCACUGGUUUAUUAAGUUGAAUAUUACAACCGGUGGGAGAGUUUAUAGCUCACAAAAGAAGCAAGAUAAAUUUAAAAAAUUGGAAAAUAAGAACAGUCCUUUAAAAAAAAGACAUCCCCCCUCAACCUAUGAAAGUAACAAAGGAAAAGAUAGAUUAGAUGGGGGGUGGGAAGAAUUGUUCAUUCAGCUAGAUAUUGUGUGAGCCAAUCAUGAUCUUAUCCCUGUGUAUUAGCCCCUGAUGAUGGACAAAUGAAGUGCGAUCACCAUGGGAGAAUUUUGGCCAUUGUUCUGUUGGAGGUUUCUCUGCCAUCUUGCAGUAGGUAGAGUGUCCACUUCUAAGAGCUUUGGUUGGCUAACCAUUCUGAUGCCAGGGCCCUCAAACUUAAAUCACCAGAAAACAGUUGAACCAAAUCCCGGUACCAGACAAAGACUCAUAGAGCCAGAGAAUGAGAGAUGAC